UAAGUCUGCAUUCCUGUGUCUGCCUGGAUUUUUUGUGCACUGUCGUGCUAUUGUACAGCUAGGGAACCUUAUAAAGGAUUGAAAGCAAGCUGAGGCCUAGGUGAAAGUUACCCUGGGAAUAACGGGGAACCUAUGAGUAAUGAUCUCCUUGAUACAAGACAAGAAUCUCAGUGUCCUCAACAACACCCUCCUGCAGCAGCCUCCUCAAACUCAGAGCACUGGGCCUGGAGAUGGGGAAAUACAACUCAGCAACAAUGGGAACAAACUACUGACAUGGUAACUCUAACGGAUCCAAAUCAUCAUAUGUGAAACAA